CCCUCAAACUUUUCCACCUUGGAGCUCAGAAACGCCAAGCGUUUCUCCAAACGCGCUCGCUUCAUCUUCAGUUCUCCCAAACGCCCUGCCAUUUCCAUGACUCCUUUACGAAAGUCCUUUGCCUCCUUCUCCUUCAAUCUCACCUCCUCCUGUAUCUUCUUCAUUUCUUCUCUUUCAAGCAGCAUAUCCCGUUCACGCCCUUCCUUCUCCACCACCGUUGUCUCGUGUCCAUCAUAGUGGUGGGCCGCUUCAAGAAUCUCGUUCAGGAU